AGCAGCCGCGGUAAUUCCAGCUCCAAUAGCGUAUAUUAAAGUUGUUGCAGUUAAAAAGCUCGUAGUUGAAUUUCGGGAUCAAUAUGUUGGUCGUGCCUUGGUACGUACUGGCAUUAUUGGUUUCUACCUUCUGAAGAACCUCGAUGUCAUUAAUUUGGUGUCUUGGGGAAUCAGGACUGUUACUUUGAAAAAUUAGAGUGUUUAAGGCAGGCUCGCGCUUGAAUACAUUAGCAUGGAAUAAUGAAAUAGGACGUUUGAUUCUAUUUUGUUGGUUUCUAGGAUCGACGUAAUGAUUAAUAGGGAUAGUUGGGGCAUUAGUAUUCAAUUGUCAGAGGUGAAAUUCUUGGAUUUAUUGAAGACUAACUACUGCGAAAGCAUUUGCCAAGGAUGUUUUCAUUAAUACAAGAACGAAAGUUAGGGGAUCGAAGACGAUCAGAUACCGUCGUAGUCUUAACCAUAAACUAUAGCCGACUAGGGAUCGGAUGAUGUUAAUUUU
rnacentral:rRNA from 1 species